rnacentral:lncRNA from 1 species
CAUGCCUUGCUCGCGUCCGCCCGGACUGCCCGCGCCUCAAUGCGCCGCGGCGCCCAUGGGAGAGCCCGCGCUCCAAAUCACCGGAAGAAGACGGACGGACGAUUCCCGCCCGGCAAACCGCACCGCGGGGCACACAGCAGGAUUUAUCGCCUUGGACGCUUCCGGGAGAAUCCUCCUUCCUCCUCCGACGCGCACUCGCCGUCUCCAACCAGCUUUGCUCCUCCUCCGGGCCACGAAGACGGAAGCGGCAGCGGCGGCGGGUGCUUUUCUUUUGCCGCUCCGAGAAGGCCGCGACGAGUCAAACAAAACAAGUGAAGGGAACAGGGUCGGGCGGCAGUGGCGUAGCUAGGGGGUGGCCAGGGUGGUCCAUGGACCACCCUGGAAUUUCCCCAUAGUGUAUUAAAAAUAUAUUUCUUUGAAAAUAAAUAAACUUAUGUAAAUAUUUCUAUUGGUGGACCACCCUGACUUAUUGGGCUGGCUACGCCACUGUCGGGCGGAGAGACUGGAGAGCAAAGCCCGAGUGACCAGCCAACCAACCAAGCGGGUGCAAGAGGAAGAAGAUAGGGACUACUGGUAGCAGUAGAUGCGGGAUGGCGCAGCGGUGGGCUCCACUCCUAGCUCCGGCUGGGGCGAAUUUUUUUAUGUGGAGGUCGGGCGACGCGGAGCGGAUCCUUGUAGCCGCGGAAGGUGGCAGGAAGGGAGGGCGGACGGAUCGAUCAAUCGGGGCGGGACGGGACGCGUGGGCGAUCGCGUCGGGCGCGAUACGUGGUCGCGGCUUUUGUGUCACGCCUGCGACUAUCUUCUAUCCAUUGUGCGUGGCUUUUAACGCCGGGGCAUGUGCUUUUCGCUGGGGUUUGCUUGGUCGCCUUUUGCGCCCGGCUGCUUUAGUC